CAGGACUGUGGCUGAUGUUCAAGGGUUCCAGCCCAGAAUGCCCCCUCUAUGGAAUUAGCACCAUGUGUCCCUGAUGAGCCGGAGGAAUCCAAAACCCAGUCCUGGCAAGGACAACAGAGGCUGGAAACACGGGGAGGGAACAUAACACAACUGGAUCUAAGCUUAAGCAAACACGUGACGAGGGAACAAGUAAAUAGGCAGACAAAAUCAUUACUGGAGUAGGAGGCUGUGGACAUCUGAAGAAAUACCACAGAGGAAGCCUACACUGCCAUCUUUUCUCAUUUUGUCUGACAGGAUCUAUAUCAAUUCCUUUUUUUCCCCUCCUUAAUUCUAUUAUUUUUAACUACAUAAAACAUUUUGUUACAGGAAAACCAGAAAACCCAGAAGAAAAUGAAAAUCAUUCACAUUCCUCCUUUCAGAGAAGGCUAUAACUAUUACAUUUUCAUUGCUUUUUUCCCAUCAACUUUCACA
rnacentral:lncRNA from 1 species